UGUAAAAUCGCUGGGUCAUAUGGUAUGUGUAUGUAUGUUUAGUUUUAUAAGAAACUGCCAAGUUAUUUUCCAGAAUGGCAGUACCAUAUUACAUUCCCUCCAGCGAU
rnacentral:pre_miRNA from 1 species